CCUACGGGAGGCAGCAGUGAGGAAUAUUGGUCAAUGGACGCAAGUCUGAACCAGCCAUGUCGCGUGCAGGAUGACGGCUCUAUGAGUUGUAAACUGCUUUUGUACGAGGGUAAUAUGAGACACGUGUAUCGGCUUGAAAGUAUCGGACGAAUAAGGAUCGGCUAACUCCGUGCCAGCAGCCGCGGUAAUACGGAGGAUCCAAGCGUUAUCCGGAUUUAUUGGGUUUAAAGGGUGCGUAGGCGGUUUUAUAAGUUCGAGGUGAAAAUUAGGGGCUCAACUCCGGACGUGCCUCGAAGACUGGAUGAUUAGAGAGUAGAUGCGGUAGGCGGAAUGUAUGGUGUAGCGGUGAAAUGCGUAGAGAUCAUACAGAACACCGAUUGCGAAGGCAGCUUACCAAACUAUAUCUGACGUUGAGGCACGAAAGCGUGGGGAGCAAACAGGAUUAGAUACCCCUGUAGUC
rnacentral:rRNA from 1 species